GACGAACGCUGGCGGCGUGCCUAAUACAUGCAAGUAGAACGCUGAAGAGAGGAGCUUGCUCUUCUUGGAUGAGUUGCGAACGGGUGAGUAACGCGUAGGUAACCUGCCUUGUAGCGGGGGAUAACUAUUGGAAACGAUAGCUAAUACCGCAUAACAAUGGAUGACACAUGUCAUUUAUUUGAAAGGGGCAAUUGCUCCACUACAAGAUGGACCUGCGUUGUAUUAGCUAGUAGGUGAGGUAAUGGCUCACCUAGGCGACGAUACAUAGCCGACCUGAGAGGGUGAUCGGCCACACUGGGACUGAGACACGGCCCAGACUCCUACGGGAGGCAGCAGUAGGGAAUCUUCGGCAAUAGGGGCAACCCUGACCGAGCAACGCCGCGUGAGUGAAGAAGGGUUUCGGAUCGUAAAGCUCUGUUGUAAGUCAAGAACGGGUGUGAGAGUGGAAAGUUCACACUGUGACGGUAGCUUACCAGAAAGGGACGGCUAACUACGUG
rnacentral:rRNA from 1 species